rnacentral:tRNA from 1 species
GGUUGAGUAGCUCAGUGGUCCGAGCAACUCUGAUUUAUGGAGUGGACCUGAGUUCGAAUCUCAGUUCAGCCA